rnacentral:rRNA from 5 species
GACCUCAAAUCAGGUAGGACUACCCGCUGAACUUAAGCAUAUCAAU